rnacentral:rRNA from 1 species
UACGGAGGGAGCUAGCGUUGUUCGGAAUUACUGGGCGUAAAGCGCACGUAGGCGGCUUUGUAAGUUAGGGGUGAAAGCCUGGAGCUCAACUUCAGAAUUGCCCUUAAGACUGCAUCGCUUGAAUCCAGGAGAGGUGAGUGGAAUUCCGAGUGUAGAGGUGAAAUUCGUAGAUAUCGGGAGGAACACCCGUAGCGAAGGCGGCACUCUGGGCCGGUACUGACGCUGAGGAGCGAAAGCGUGGGGAGCAAACAGG